AACGAACGCUGGCGGCGUGCUUAACACAUGCAAGUCGAACGGAAAGGCCCUGCUUUUGUGGGGUGCUCGAGUGGCGAACGGGUGAGUAACACGUGAGUAACCUGCCCUUGACUUUGGGAUAACUUCAGGAAACUGGGGCUAAUCCCGUAUCGGAGCUCCUGCUGCAUGGUGGGGGUUGGAAAGUUUCGGCGGUUGGGGAUGGACUCGCGGCUUAUCAGCUUGUUGGUGGGGUAGUGGCUUACCAAGGCUUUGACGGGUAGCCGGCCUGAGAGGGUGACCGGCCACAUUGGGACUGAGAUACGGCCCAGACUCCUACGGGAGGCAGCAGUGGGGAAUAUUGCACAAUGGGCGGAAGCCUGAUGCAGCAACGCCGCGUGCGGGAUGACGGCCUUCGGGUUGUAAACCGCUUUCGCCUGUGACGAAGCGUGAGUGACGGUAAUGGGUAAAGAAGCACCGGCUAACUACGUG
rnacentral:rRNA from 1 species